AAUAUAUGAUCCAAGAUGCAACGCGUGAUCGCCGAUUGUCUCCCAGCAACCAAGCGCGGGAAUACAGAGUGCGCGCGCCUGGGGACCUGUGAGGGGAGAAAUGACCUGGUCUCUGGCAUCGCCCUCACUUUACAGCCUGAGAUGAUGUGAAACAUGUUGUUUGUUCCAGUCUACAUCCACAUUCUGAACUGCCCUUUUCUUAUGGGAUGUCCAUGAAAUAAAGCGUCUAAUUUUCAUCACUACACAGUGGGCACAAUCUACAGGCUAUGUCAUCACAAACAUGGCUACUCACAUCAGUGCGCUGUCCCACGUAUAGGAAGCCACAGGCUGGGUGAAAUGCUCCCGUCCCACAGGUGAACAGAGCUGGACGAUUAUGAAAAUUCCACAGAUUGAAAAACCUGCUUGAUGGAUUGAAAUCUUCUAUGCCUAGAAAUGGCCCCUCCAGGUCACCGCACCUGAGAGAUCAGAGGUCAGGCACAUUGCAGGACAGAGGAGGGGGUGAAUCUAUAGACUGAGGCGGAUGAUGCACUAUUUCCUGGGAUCAGUUUCCUCAUAAAGUGCACCUGCUGAGUAUUUACAGAACAAGAACAGGUUGCGGCAAGAAUAAGGAACAAAAAGGACUGUUUAAUUCACAAGGUGUCGUCUGUGAUGUCGAUGGGCUCAAUAUGACAAACUCCCACAAGUGUACGGAGGCAGCAAAAGGCUAUCCUUGUGCCUCUGUUCAGCUGUGCCAAACACAUGGCCACCAGCCACAAAUUCUCAGAAUGCUCUUCAUUCUGGCAUCUCUCACAACGCCCACUGACUGGCAGCAAAUAUGAUGGCAGCUUUGGACAAAUUGCUAAAUACUAAGGGGUAUUUAUAAUUUAAAGAAUCCCCAACUGUGAUGAUGGUGAAACCUUCUUUCCUCUAGACGUAGAGGAUGCCCUCUUGUCAUGGUUACCGGCAUAGAUAUUAAAUCAUGAUGUAAAAAGCUCAAUGAGUUAGAAAAUUGUUAAUAAGACAACGUCUUUAUUGUUGGUGUUGAGCUCGGACCUUUACCUGACUGUAUAUCCAGGUCAUAAAUAUACAUGUUCAUGUGUAAUUUACGUGCCCCACUGAACCCCAAGCCACAGAUCACAUACCUUGUGCUGGCGUGACGGAGAGGUCACAUAUGAAGGUUGACUGCCAUUACAGUCAGACCACACAUGCAGAUUUUUACCUUCUAGGCUCAGUUCUGAACAUUCUGGAUCCACUAUUAGUAAAAAUGUUCGAGGGGACAGUCCGUCAGGUGUCAGCAAUCCUGUUGUGAACAACACAGCACCAGUAUGUCAUUGGUGGGAAAGAAAUACACAGUAGCAAAACUAGUGACCUUUUACAUCAAGCGACAAAGCUAUUGGAGUAAGGAGAUGGGAAUAUGAGGAAAUAGGACUCAAUGGUGGUGGAAAACUCAGCUGCAUGGCAGACAGCAAAUUACAACAGAUUGUGAAAAACUGGCUUACAGAUCUCUUAAUGAAAGCUUUAUAAACGAGGGCACAAUUAUAACCAACAGGAGGCAUGUAUCUUCCAUCCCUCAAGCACCUAUACCUUAUUUAGACUACAUGGUCUGGACCGAUUUUCACCCUCACCCAUAUGUGUACAGCAAUUAUUACUGUAUAUGGUGCACAAUUUGGAACAUGUACGCUUUUUUUUUGUGGGAUUUAAAAUAGCUGUUUAACAGAUUUUAUUAUAAAAUGUUAACAUUUCACAAGUUCAAACACACAUAACAGUGAUAAGGCAAUAAAGCUAAUUGUUCACUGUGUGUCCGCUGUUUGCAUCUGAACACUGCUAUGGUGCUUGGAUCACUGAUUCUCUUGUAAAUGUGUGCUAUUCACUUCAGACAAUAAAA